GGCCUCGGGAGAUUCGUUACCGAGGCCAAGCCACUACGAGGGGCCUCUGGGUCUGUCACAAUCUGUGAGGCGUCCAGUCUUUAGAAAACUGGAUUGACAGGGGACAUCGUGAGUUUAGAUCUCGGUUUUUGCUGUGACUGUUUUCUGUGCAGCUUGUGAUGUUAUUACAAGCGUCAUACUUCAGGGAUGGCAGGUACGUGCUGACACACUGGUAUAGCCAUGCUGGGAGAAAGGAGGUGAGAGGCAGGUCGUGCCAUCGAGAUCUUACACAAACAGAAAGAUGCUCUGUACUGCCACAGUCCUGGCCUGCCCCCAAACUGUGUCAGCGGGAGGGGAGGGGUUCAGUUACUCCAACCUACUGCUCCAUUUUGCCAGUGUAAAUGUCUUGUGAACUGAAGCAGUCUCCUUCAGCCACUUUACAAAACAGGGAGGUCAUGAAGCCAAAUGAGAAAGCUGCCUGUCUCCAUGUAGCCUUCCAAAAUACUAGCAAUUAAUUGCCCAGAAGGCUGAAUUGUAUUACAGCACUUAGUGGUACAGUAACCUUGGUUGGUAUGGAGCACAGAAAAGGCUCAAGCAUGUCCUAGUUAGAAUAGCUGGGACCAGUUCAUCACUGGAGGGGUGUAACCCAAAACUGUGUAUUCUAUAGCCUUCCAUGCCAUUUCCCAGAAACUGUUGUCAGUAGACUAUUUACACCCUCUGCCCAGAGCAGCCUGACUCCUUAGGCUAUAAACUAGGUGUUAAGAGGCCUUUGAGAUAGGAGGGUGCUUCUGUCCUCAUACCCUUUGUGGAACUCCCCGCCAUGAGGGAAGUACUGAGCAUUCCUGCCUGAACUAGAGAAUAUAUAAUCUUGGAGUCUUGGAACUUUUUUAACCACUCGUGGGAUCCAGAGGAAGACUGCAGACCACCACUCUCAACCAGACUGCAACCACCACUUUUCAACCAGACUGCAACCAUCACUCUCGACCGGACUGCAAUUACCAUUCUUGACCAGACUGCAACAGCACUUUCACCAACAGGUUUUUCCCUUCUCCCUUUACUUUGGGCUCAGGGGGCCCAACAAACACCACUCUGUUCAUGCCCCAGGGUUAUACAUUUGGGUUUUGUGGGUUAAAACCAAUUGUUUGUCUGUAUAAUCGUACUUAUUGUAUUAUUUUAUUAAAUUGUUAUUCUGAUUUAUAA